GCUUUCCCUCAGCAGAAAGAUGCCACAGUAGUUGUUACAGUCAUCGUGGUCACCUUUGUUCUUGUAGCGAACAAUGCUGGCGUCACACAAGCCCUGUGGCAUGGAUUCUGUUUCUCAACACUGCAAGAGGAGGCCAUGGAUUUAAGCCAGCUUUCCACAUUUUGGGGGGCACCACUGCUCUCCUGGCUUCCAAACACAGUGUGCCACUAGCGAUGACCAGUGAGAAAGCAGGGAGGCACCCAUUCUUAGCCAAAACAGAAUUAAAUAGGAACUCAGAAAAGGGGAAACAGAAAAGACUGGGAGAGGUGGUAGGGAAGAGUUGGAAGGACAGGGGUGACAAAAGUGAGGUGAGCUAUAUGAUUAAGUGUAAAAAAAUCAUGUUUCAAAGAGCUCUAAAUGGUAUUUAAUUUGUGUAAUCAAAUGAGUCGUGUUUGUGAAAACAUUUUUUUUUUUUAAUUGGGUAGGGAAGCUGUCAGUAUAUUGUAAGUGGAUUACUGAUUUUUAGGAUGCAUUGAAAACAUAAAACCGCUUGUCUUGUUCUUUGCUGCAUCCAUCGCUUGGCCCCCACUGUGCAUGUGUAAUAUGCAGUAUCUUUGUUCUGUAAAAUUUAUUUCUUAAUCUGUAUCUUGCAGUGCCCUGAAUCAUGGGCUUUGUGAAAUGUGUAAUUAUGAAUUUCCUUCCCUUUUGUUGUUUAAAUUCUGUGCCAUAAGUUUCCAUUAAAGCACACGUGAGGCACGACAGCUAAACUUAGAGUACCCAAAGCAAGCAUAAAAUGAAUUGACAGCAUGUGUUUCAACUCGUAAAUUCAGGCGUGUAGAACGUGAUAUAGAAAGAAACACAUUCAUAAAUGGGCCAAAUGUGCAGUUGCCACAGGAGCCAUAACGUCUGAAUUUUCUGAACUUGGGCACAUUGCAAAUGUCCAAAUGUAUCAGUAGCAAUAAUUUAAUUGUUUAACAUUGUUUGCCACAAUUGACAAGAAUUCUCUGUAGUUCACUGGUUCUCAGUGUAUAUCUUGUGCCAGCUGAAGAUUUGCUCUAUAGUUUACAUCUGGCAAUGCAACACAGAUUACUCACUUGCAACUCUUGAUCUUUUUUUGUGAAUCCCUGAUGCCUUUUGAAACUGCCCUAUUCCUUCUUUCCUUUCUGUUCGCUCCUCCUUGUUUCUUGCCAUUCUGGUAGUUGUGUGUAGCACACUAAAGUCGGAAAGGAAUUACUUUCCCUUGCUUUCAAGAACAGUAACUACAUUCGUCCAUUUUACCACUACUACUAAUGUAUACAAGAAUAACACAUCAAACCCACUGGGGCAUAUUUCUGACUAGACCAGCGUAUGUUUGGAAUUUCUAAUAUGAGGUAGCCAUGAUGAAAAUUGAAGCAGAGUGGCCUUUAUUACAGAUCAGUUAAUGCAGAUGCAGAACAUGACUCCACCCAUCACUGGUGUUCCCUGCAGUCCCUAACAGAAGGAAUGUGGCCCCUGACAGGGAAAAAAAAAAGGAUUGGCCACCCCUACUUCAAUGUAUGUGCUUUGAUUUUAAAUCUUGUGCUAGGCACCUUUGGGGGCUAAGAUCAGCAGAGGCUGAUCUCUCGGUAUUUGAACCCUGGUGACUGGAGAAGACAAAAAUCCCACCUGUUACCAUGCUAAGUGAUUAGAGACUGGGAAAUGGUGGGUCAUUCCUUGAUGUUUCAGUGGCUGGUGAAUAUGUAAAGAACCAUAUUCCAGAUUUUGCAUUAACAACUUUCCCUUUUAAAAUUUUGGACUUUGGAAGAGGAUUCCUUUAUACAGCUUCUCACUCUUUCUGUGAAUGAUGGAUCACUGGGUGAAUAGCUUAUUAAGAGGAGCUUCACAAAGCAACAGAAAGAGUGCUAGCGUGAAUCAUUGAUUUGUUAGAGAAUGCAAAGAGCCUGAGAGAGAAUUAAUGGUAGCCUUGAUCCAAUGUAUUAAUAAUAGUGAUCUGGUUUUCAGCAGGUACAUGUUGAAUGACAUAAAAAAUGGGGAGUUGAAUAAACCCACUGCUAUCAUAUGCCUUCCUGAUGGGAAAUGGGGAAGGGCCACAGCUUAGAGGUAGAGCAUCUGCUCUGCAUGCAGAAAGUCAAUCACUGGAAACCUCCAGGUAGGGCUAGGAAUGCCCUGAACUGAAAACCUGGAGAGCUGCUACCAGUGUUUUCCUAGAUGUUGAGUCAACAAAAGCUGCUACCAGGAAAACUCUCAAAAUUGAGUGUGAUAUUGGAGGCCUACAAAGUGCAACAUCUUGAAAAGUAAGUUGCCAUCCUUAAUUAAAACUUCCCUUCCUCUGAGAAGGACUAUUAUUAUAUUCCCUGUUUUUAACAUUUCUUUCAGUGGCUUAACAACAAACAGGGUGUUCAGUGUUUUCUUUCAUACCUUAGGGACUAUAAUAAGGAGACUGGGACGGAGGAGAUCUUUGAGACUUCUGCAGCUUCUGAGUGCUACAUCUGGCAUUUAUGUUUCCCUUUUGGUACACCUGAUUUGUGUAUAAAUGUUUUAACUAUUCAAA
rnacentral:lncRNA from 1 species